rnacentral:rRNA from 1 species
CCUACGGGAGGCUGCAGUGGGGAAUAUUGCGCAAUGGAGGAAACUCUGACCCAGCAACGCCGCGUGAAUGAUGAAGGUCUUCGGAUUGUAAAGUUCUUUUCUAAGGGAAGAAAAAAGUGACGUUACCUUAGUAAUAAGCCUCGGCUAACGACGUGCCAGCAGCCGCGGUAAUACGUAGGAGGCGAGCGUUAUCCGGAAUGACUGGGCGUAAAGGGGGCGUAGGGGGGGUGGCAAGUUAGUCGCGUAACCCUAAGGCUCAACCUUGGAACUACUACUAAAACUGUUGGACUUGAGUGCAGGAGGGGCAAGUGGAAUUCUUAGUGUAGCGGUGGAAUGCGUAGAUAUUAGGAGGAAUACUCGUGGCGAAGGCGAGCUGCUAGAAUGUAACUGACACUGAGGCACGAAAGCGUGGGGAGCAAACAGGAUUAGAUACCCUUGUAGUC